CAAGUCGAACGGCAGCACGGUUAGUAGCAAUACUAAUGGGUGGCGAGUGGCGGACGGGUGAGUAAAGCGUAGGGAUCUGCCUAUUGGAAGGGGAUAACUUGGGGAAACCUGAGCUAAUACCGUAUAAGCUCUAUGGAGGAAAGUAUGGGCCAUUGUAAGAUGCCAUACGCCAAUAGAUGAACCUACGUCGGAUUAGCUAGUUGGUGGGGUAAAGGCCUACCAAGGCGAAGAUCCGUAGCUGGUCUGAGAGGAUGAACAGCCACACUGGGACUGAGACACGGCCCAGACUCCUACGGGAGGCAGCAGUGGGGAAUAUUGGACAAUGGGGGGAACCCUGAUCCAGCGAUGCCGCGUGUGUGAAGAAGGCCUGCGGGUUGUAAAGCACUUUGGCGGGGGAAGAAGAGUUGUGGUUUAAGAGACGACAACGAUGACGUUACCCUGGAAACAAGCACCGGCUAACUCUGUGCCAGCAGCCGCGGUAAUACAGAGGGUGCAAGCGUUAAUCGGAAUUACUGGGCGUAAAGGGCGCGUAGGCGGAUUGAUAAGUUAGAUGUGAAAAGUCAGAGCUUAACUUUGACCGUGCAUUUAAGACUGUCAGACUAGAGUAGAGUAGAGGGAAGUGGAAUUUCCGGUGUAGCGGUGAAAUGCGUAGAUAUCGGAAAGAACAUCAGUGGCGAAGGCGGCUUCCUGGACUUAUACUGACGCUGAGGCGCGAAAGCGUGGGUAGCAAACAGGAUUAGAUACCCUGGUAGUCCAUGCUGUAAACGAUGAUAACUAGAUGCUGGUGGGUUAAACCUAUAA
rnacentral:rRNA from 1 species